rnacentral:rRNA from 1 species
UACGUAGGGGGCUAGCGUUGUCCGGAAUCAUUGGGCGUAAAGCGCGUGUAGGCGGCCCAGUAAGUCCGCUCUGAAAGCCCGAGGCUCAACCUCGGGAGGCGGGUGGAUACUGCUGGGCUCGAGUACGGAAGAGGCGAGUGGAAUUCCCGGUGUAGCGGUGAAAUGCGCAGAUAUCGGGAGGAACACCAAUGGCGAAGGCAGCUCGCUGGGACGUUACUGACGCUGAGACGCGAAAGCGUGGGGAGCGAACAGG